UUUUGUAGAAUUUCAGCAUGUCUUAUCAUGUAUGAUUGUAGUGUACCGGAUUUUCAAUAUAAAAGCAUGUGCAAAUAAAAAUAGUAGGAGAUAUUAUUUUUAUUGGACAUAGAAAAGUAAACGAUAACUUAGAAAUAAUUUGUAAUGCAAUUAGAAUGAAACAGGACAUUUGAACUUUUCUGUAAGGAAUGGGGCUUAUCUUUCAGCCAAAAAUUCAAAAUAUCAUAAAAGGGGUCCCAUUACAGAAUUGGGAAUCGGGAACAGUGUCAGAAAAUUAUAAAAAUUUGAGAAUAUAUCAAAACUGAUUUUCUAAUGCUAGAUUUAAAAUUUUUUAUCAUUCCGACAUCCGAGAAGUGAAAACGGAGACUAACAGCAAUCUGUUAAAAAUUUUAGUCGGUAGAGCUUUCGGUAACAAAAAAUGAUUAAAAACUGAAAAAUUAAGAUCACGUAUAUCUGAUUGACUUUAAUUGAGCAUGUUUGUUAAAUUUGAGUACAAAUGGACAUUCAAAAGAGCUCUAACUAAAAAUAUCAGAUCUGAACUAGACUAAACUACAAAUUAUAAUAGUGUUAGGGGCCCAUAUGUAAACCUAGACCACCUCUCUCUCCCUAAUUUAU
rnacentral:lncRNA from 1 species